rnacentral:rRNA from 1 species
UUCUGCCUACGGGGGGCAGCAGUGAGGAAUAUUGGUCAAUGGUCGGGAGACUGAACCAGCCAAGCCGCGUGAGGGAGGAAGGUACAGAGUAUCGUAAACCUCUUUUGUCAGGGAGCAAAGGCGUCCACGUGUGGACGAGAGGAGAGUACCUGAAGAAAAAGCAUCGGCUAACUCCGUGCCAGCAGCCGCGGUAAUACGGAGGAUGCGAGCGUUAUCCGGAUUUAUUGGGUUUAAAGGGUGCGUAGGCGGAGUGUCAAGUCAGCGGUAAAAUUUCGGGGCUCAACCCCGUCGUGCCGUUGAAACUG